rnacentral:rRNA from 1 species
UACGCAGGGUGCAAGCGUUGUCCGGAAUUAUUGGGCGUAAAGAGCUCGUAGGCGGUCUGUCGCGUCGGAUGUGAAAAUCCAGGGCUCAACCCUGGACCUGCAUUCGAUACGGGCAGACUAGAGUUCGGCAGGGGAGACUGGAAUUCCUGGUGUAGCGGUGAAAUGCGCAGAUAUCAGGAGGAACACCGGUGGCGAAGGCGGUUCUCUGGGCAUGAUCUGACGCUGAGGAGCGAAAGCGUGGGAGCGAACAGG